rnacentral:lncRNA from 1 species
ACACUUUCUGUUUUACCUCCGGCCGCUCUUUUAACCUUUAUCCUUUCCCUGCCCCCUUUCAGACCCUCUUACUCACCUCCACAGAUGACGUGUAAAAGAGCUCAAAUCAGUGUGUUACCUUUCCUGGGGUUAUUUUCUUUUUAAACUGAGGUUUUGUCCCUUGGUGAGAAAGCUGGGGUACCGCUGAAAAGAAAGCCAGCCUGGGAGCAAGAGACUUGGAUUUAAAUCUUGCAUCUGUACUUUCUAGUUGUGGGGUCUCUGAUGAGUUACUUUAGCUCUCUGAACCUCAGGGUCCUCAUCUAUAAAAUGGAAGAAUGUCCAAUGCUUUGGGAGGCUGAGGUGGGGGGAUCGCUUGAGCCCAGGAGUCCAGGACCAGCCCGGGCAACGUAGCAAGAUCCCAUGUCUAUGAAAAAAACCCACAAAUUAGCUGGGUAUGUUUGUUCCCACCCAUAGUCACAGCUACUUGGGAGGCUGGGGUGGCUCGAUUGCUUGAGCCCAGGCGUCCGAUGUUACAGUGAGCUGUGUGAUCACACCACUGCACUCCAGCCUGAAUGACAGAGCAAGACCCUGUCUCUUUAAAAAAAAAAAAAAAAAGAGAGAGAAUGAAUGAUUGAACAAUUUCUACCCAACAAUUUUGUAUAUCGAACCACCAACAUGUGUAAGACACAGAAGAGGAGUUUGGUCAGUGAUAGGUAUGUAACCGCCCAGUGGGUUCAUCUCGUCUGCUGCCCAGGGGAAUGGAAAUAGAGACAGAGUUUAUACACGCAGAGCCUGCUGAACAGGAAACCGGAGUUUCAUUAUUGUGCACAUCAGCCUCCCAGAAAAUUUGGAGGCUAGGGUUUUUUGAAGAUAGUUUAGGGGGCUAGGGUAUGGGUGCUGCUGACUGGGUGGGGAUGCAAUCGUAGGGGUGAGGAAAAUGGUCCUCAUGUACUGAGUCCACUUCUGGGUGGAGGCCUCAGGACUGGUUGAGUGGAGAGUCAAGGGUCCAGGUAGGGCCAUCCAGUUGUCAGAAAUGCAAAACUCUGAAAAGACAUCUUAAAAGGCC